UUUGGCAGUAUUCAUACUAAAAAAAAAUUGGAGUGAUACAGAGAAUAUUAGCAUGGCCCCUGUGCAAGGAUGACAUGCAAAUUUGUGAAGCAUUCCAUUUUUUA